GCACUUGUACAGUGAAACUGCGAAUGGCUCAUUAAAUCAGUUAUCGUUUAUUUGAUAGUGCCCAACCACAUGGAUAACCGUGGUAAUUCUAGAGCUAAUACAUGCGACGAACCGCGACUUCGGGAGCGGUGUAUUUAUUAGAUUAAAGACCAACGCCCUUCGGGGCUGUCCGGUGAUUCAUAAUAACUCCUCUGAUCGCACGGCCUUGCGCUGGCGACGGCUCAUUCAAAUUUCUGCCCUAUCAACUUUCGACUUUAGUGUAGUGGACUAAAGUGGUUGCAACGGGUAACGGAGGGUUAGGGCUCGACCCCGGAGAAGGAGCCUGAGAAACGGCUACUACAUCCAAGGAAGGCAGCAGGCGCGCAAAUUACCCAAUCCCGACACGGGGAGGUAGUGACAAUAAAUACUGAUACAGGGCUCUUUCGGGUCUUGUAAUCGGAAUGAGUACAAUUUAAAUCCCUUAACGAGGAACAAUUGGAGGGCAAGUCUGGUGCCAGCAGCCGCGGUAAUUCCAGCUCCAAUAGCGUAUAUUAAAGUUGUUGUGGUUAAAAAGCUCGUAGUUGAACCUGGGCCCCGCGCCCGCCGGUCCGCCUCACCGCGUGCACUGGUGUGGCCGGGGCUUCCACCUGGGGGUACGCAUGCCCUUCGCUGGGCGUGCGGGGAGCCAGGACCUUUACUGUGAAAAAAUUAGAGUGUUCAAAGCAGGCCUAUGCUCGAAUACAUUAGCAUGGAAUAAUAGAAUAGGACGUGCGGUUCUAUUUUGUUGGUUAUGGGACCGCCGUAAUGAUUAAUAGGGACAGUCGGGGGCGUCAGUAUUCGGUGGUCAGAGGUGAAAUUCUUGGACCCACCGAAGACUAACUACUGCGAAAGCAUUCGCCAAGGAUGUUUUCAUUAAUCAGGAACGAAAGUUAGGGGAUCGAAGACGAUCAGAUACCGUCGUAGUCUUAACCAUAAACUAUGCCGACUAGGGAUCGGGCGAUGUUGCUUUCUGACUCGCUCGGCACCUUUCGAGAAAUCAAAGUCUGUGGGUUCCUGGGGAAGUAUGGUGGCAACGCUGAAACUUAAAGAAAUUGACGGAAGGGCACCACCAGGGGUGGAGCCUGCGGCUUAAUUUGACUCAACACNGGGAAACUCACCAGGUCCANACACAACGAGGAUUGACAGAUUGAGAGCUCUUUCUUGAUUUUGUGGGUGGUGGUGCAUGGCCGUUCUUAGUUGGUGGAGUGAUUUGUCUGCUUAAUUGCGAUAACGAACGAGACCUUAACCUGCUAACUAGCCCGCGCCGCCCCGGCGGCGUGCUGGCUUCUUAGAGGGACUAUCGGCUCAAGCCGA
rnacentral:rRNA from 1 species